rnacentral:lncRNA from 1 species
AUAGCAACAGCAGCGUAGCUGAACAUCUUACGGAUGGCCCAGGGCUCCAAAGGCUCGUUUCCUAAGUGAGAGAGAGCCUGGCUGAAGCUGUAUUACCAUUCAUUCUCCAGCCUCCGAAGUCUCAAAGCAUCACUUCCACCAUACUCUAACUGUCAAGACAAACACAAAGGCCCAGAAACUGCCAGACUGUCUUCUGAAGUGGCUAUAAUAUUUACACUCCCAUCAGCAGUGUAGAAGGGGUCUCACUAUGUUGUCUGGAGUGCUGUGGUGGAGUGGAGUGGCUAUUCACAGAGCCUGUUCUGCUGGGACACAGAAUCACUUGCUCCAUCUCAUACAUUGAUGAUGAUUAAUUUGUAUGUGUACCUUCCAAAAAAGAUGGUUGUGUUUGAAUGGAGGCCUUCUGGACAGGAAAAUUGCAAAGUACAAUUAACAUUUGAGUCUGUCUGAGUCAUGAAGAAAUGGAGAUUACUGAAAAUAAUUCAUUUUGGUAUCUUCUUACAUCCUGAGAGACUAAUCUUUCCAAGUUCAUCUGAGGCUCCUCUUCUCCAUGACAACCUCAUCCAGGGAUUUCUUCCUGUCCUGGUGUUUUAUGACAUGUGGAAGGGGACUGUAGCAGGUGAUCUCCAAAGUCUCUGGAGACUUACUAAUGUGCAUCCUCAUCUCGCUUGUAAGGAUAAUAGCCUUCCUCCAAACCUCACACACUUUUGGAGGAGAUCACUUUUUUUAAAGUGCAUGGAAAUGUUUUGAAACAGUGAAAUCUAUAAUGAUAGGUUUCAUAAUUCUAACAUCCACACCAUAUGAAUCACAUCCUUCCUGAGAUAAUGAGCACACAAUUGCCUGGAUACCUGAAGGAAUGGAGACAGCGGCAGAAAACACUGCAGAGAGGUGGAAACAUCCGUUAAUAUUUUAAAAUCCCAUUACUGCUACCAACAAUAAUAAUGGAUGCAUAGAAAUAGAUCUGGAUUAGCUGAGCUUGAAACAGUCCAUCUCACACACACACAAAAGAAUUUCAGGUAAUGAAGAAAAGAAAAGGAAAAAAAUAACACAUGGCCUCUGUAACAUUGUUGCUUUUGAACCUUAUUGGAUUUGUGGCAAACUGGGUGCUUUUGGGACAUGAGUCUCCUACCACUCACCUGCCUCUGAGCUCUCCUCUGAGGCCGGUCACUGCCCAGAAGGGAUGCACCUGUCUUCUGUCCUGUGGUCUCUGGGUAGCCCCUGGGUCAGCAUUUUGGGUGCUAGCAUCUGAUGCAACUGCUACAGUUGCUGAUGAGAAAGUAGCUACCCUCCUCCACUCCACCCCUGCCGCCCAGGCCCUGCCACUCCUGCUAACCUGUCAGGCUACAUUUUCAAUUACUGGCUUUGAAAAAUGUCCAGGUGGAUUAAAUCAAUGAAUGC